rnacentral:lncRNA from 1 species
GGAGUCAAGGUGCACGUUUGCUUUGAAAGAAACGGCGGUGAUCACCGUGGCGGGCAUUCUGAUCGUCUCCUUGUCGACGGCUACAGGGCAAUCUGUUGACAGAUGUGACCCGAACUCGGUAAAAGUGUGCUACGCAAUGUAUAUGACCGUGUUAUGGCGGGAGGAGUUUAAGCCUAGCCCAGAGGGCGAGUACGACGAAGAGGAGCUCAAGAGAGGUUGCAGAAUCUCAUAACGCCAUCAAGUGCUUAAACUUGGAGAAGAUGGAAGAGUGCGCAAGAACGCUGAUGCCAACGUCCAAUCCACAAGAUGCCGGGAAGCCACCUCUCCCGACGCUUCGCUGCAAUGAAAAUCCCGCGGAGAUUGCCUGCUUCGACAAGGCGUUCAACUCGUCCUGCCCCCUGUCUAUGGAGACGGCCAAGGCAGCGGUGACCAGAGUAGUGAAUGCCGCAGCCCUACUCAAAGGCUGCGAGUCAUCUUCAAACGCAGUCGUGGUUUCCGGAGGUUUUCUCGUUCUGCUGGUUGUUCCCGUUAUUCUGAGUUGGUUGAGAACGUGACCAGCGGACUGAAAG